GGCUAAGGAAGGAGAACAUCCUCGAAAGACCGAGCCAAACAAACGAAGAAGUCCUUGCAAGCCAUGGGGUUAUUCCCAGGAUAGAGAUUGAUCCCCAUCUCCACCAAGAAGAGAAGGAAAACAACUAGUGGAUGAGUAGCAUCAAUCACUCAUCCUCUAUUCCUUGGCAGGCAGCAGGCAGAUCCAUGCCUAAAAAGAGCACCGAGCAAAACUUCAACACUUAUUGAUCCCAUCAAUUGACCUCUAAGAGAUCAUGCCAGGGUGAGGCUAGCUUGGUCAACCAAGAAGUAGGUAUCGGAGUGGACGAGCAUUGAAAUGAGGGUGUUUGUGACCAAAAGAGUUUGAGUCUAGAUGCAUCACAUGCGUAACCAACAGCAUCUCAACGGAGUAAGCGUUUGUACAUUCAACGGGAAGAUCAAAGAGCAACUCAUGUUAAGUGGCAUUCCUCUGCACCUCCAAAAUUGAGCUUGAGAUGAAAUAUGGAAGAAACCAAGACUUUGGACAAAGAUGAAAUUCUAAGCUUGAGAAGACCCCUAAAAUGCCUCAAUAGUUGGAGAUGGCUACCAGCUUCAUCUCAGAGGGUUCGAAAGACCCAAGACAACCGAGCCAAUUGUUGAGUUUGUGAA